ensembl:lncRNA
CCACAUGUCUGUUAAAAAUGCUUUUAAAGAAAAAUAUUUUGGGGUCCAGUGUUGUGACAUAGCAGGCCUUGGAGGGCCCGGCCUGAUCAGCUGGCAGCCUGUGCCUGAGGGAGGCUCUGUUUCAAGGUGUGAAGGUCAGUUGUAGGGUUUCAACCUGACGGGAUGAAGGAGUACCUGGGGACCUGGAAGAGCGUUCUGUUGGCUGUCUGCAAGGGUGUUUCCAAGUGACAUCAGCGAGUGUGGGUGCAGGAGGUGGGAAGAACAGGCCUUGAAGUGGGCGGCCAUCAUCAGUGGGCUGGGGUUCUGGAGAGACUCAAUGGGAAAAGGAUCUGGGGUUCUCACAGAGAGAGAGAGAGAGAGAGAGCGAGCGCUGGGACACCCCGGACCCCUGUAGCCGUGUCAGCGGCUGGCCUUUGGUCUGCAGGACUACACUCGCGGCCAUCCGGCUGGCUCUCAGGUUUUCUGACCUUCAGUGAAGACUCACAUCUCAGUUCUCUGGUUCGGAGGCCUCUGGACUUGGGCUGAGUCCCGCUGCCAGCGCCUGAGGCUCUCCGCGCUGCAGACGAGCUGCGAGGGACCUCACAGCUGCCACAAUCCCCUGAGCGGAACUCACCCUUCGUGUAUUCGUAUGUACGUACAUCCCAGCAGUCUGUGUCCCUAGAGAACCCUCCCCGUGCACGAGGGCGUGCUCAGAAGGCAGGUUACAGUUUGCUUAUUCAGCAGGUUAGCAUACAGAGGUUACUUGGGGCCAGGCUUAUCAUUCAAGUACGGAGGCCGGUUAGGGCCAAACUUAUUUCACUUCAGCAUUGCAAACUCCUUAAGGAGGGCUGCAUGCACGGCACACUGCUUCCCGGCUUCAGCAGCUGGAGCAUCUGCUGGAGCACACCCCUACCUUCCCUAUGUAAAUGAGCUCCACGUCAGGCCACUGGUGAUUGGCUCCUGGUCGAACGAAUCACAUUCAGGCUCAGAAUACCUUAUUAACAUACACCUCAACCAAUCAGGGGACCAGCUUUCCCUGGUAACGCAUAAAAUUGGAGGUGGGGCGCGGAAAAAGCAGCUCUCUGCGGAGCGUCCAGCGGUUUGGAGAGCGAUAGCGCCUACCAGCGCCUCUUUCAAGAUUCCUGGAUGGCUUCCCCCACUCUUCCUUGUCCAUGUGCCCCGUUCCUCGUGGUUAGGAGACCAAGAACCCCUCAGAGAAGACAGGCUGUAUCGCAGAAGACUGCGACAUGCCUGUAGGACGAGGAGCCCAGCCGAGAGAGGCUGCAGCAGGAAAGGCUGGAGCGCGGAGCUGCUGAUCACCACUGGGGUCCGUCACAGCAAAAGCUACUGAAUGGAUUUUCCUUGCACCGAAACCUCGCGUCCCUGAACAGCAGUGACCCUUGCGUGGGAGCCACUUCAAGCGUCUCAGCCACAGGCGUGCCCCGCGUGUCCUCUCCCACGGGCACUUAAGAGUCACUCACGCACAGGAUGUCUACUCAAAGCGACCCCGGGGCAGCGCUGACAGAGAUCUUGGCAGCCAUGCCUGUCUUCAGUUUGCCGCCCCAAAGACUGCUUCCGGGGUGGAGGUCUCCGCAGCCUGCACGUCCUCUGGGCUGUGUGCGGUGAGCGUUCUUGUGUUGUUGCAGAGCGGGACCCGGUGGUCUGGCGACAGAACCAGCAGACGGAGGCCCUGCGUGAUCAAGGACAGCACCCUUGACUCGGGACCUGCAGUCGUGUUGCCCCUGUGACGGCCGCACGUGCCAGACCACAGCUUCCCACAGAAAACACUGGAACCUGUGUCUGGAAGGCGCGGCUUCCCACCGUGAAAUGGCCUCGUCGCAAAGACAGGAGUGACAAUAACGCCAGAUUCAAUGAGCUGCUGUUGAUAAGACCAUGGGACGUUCUGAACUGUGGGAAUGGUAAUUGUUAUUACCGGCAGUAACAUCGAACCUUUGCAAGAUUAAAAAAAAAUGCUUUUUUCCCUAUCUCUAUAAAAAUCUGGCGACCAGAUAGAAAAGCUUUUCUAUUAACAGCACACAAAAAUGACCAACGUAAUCCCAGCAGCCCCACUCGUGCUUGCCAGUCGGACAAAGGCGCCUCCUCUGCAUGAGAAUGAUCCACAGUAGCCCCAAGGUUAUUCAUAAACCUCUAGUGCCUGCUCGCCUGGAGUCAGCCUAGAUGAGCUAUUCAAAAUGCAUCCACGGAAUCCAUUCGCUCUGAUAGACUCGAAUAACAAGGCAGAGGGCUUGAUUCCCCCCACUGGAGAGGCGUCACAGCCAUUGUCUACCUUCCCACAGAUCACAGAGCUAGGGCUGCGCUCCUACCUGGCAACAUGACUUGAGGCUUGACAU